AAGAUGUGCAACUUAUUUUCGGCAUUUAAAUGAUUUCAACGGAAUUCAUUCUAAGAUAGUUAUAAACAUAAUUACUCAGGGGAAGCUUCGUUACAAUAAGAUUCGUCUCGUACACUCGUACUCGUAUAUUAAAGAGUUUAAACUGUACUACAAUUAAUUAUAAAUGUAUAGAUUUAGUACUAUGUUAAACGGAUUGAUGCUGAAUUUUUAAUGGCAAUAUAGCAAAUAGGCAAAAUAAUUUUAAUACUUUAUUUAUUUUAAUUUUAUAUAUAACAUUAGUGAAAGUAAAACUAUUUCGCAAUAAACUUAAACAUUUUGUGAUCA